rnacentral:rRNA from 1 species
UAAGAGAUGGCGACCGGCGCACGGGUGAGUAACACGUAUCCAACCUGCCGAUAACUCGGGGAUAGCCUUUCGAAAGAAAGAUUAAUACCCGAUGGUAUAAUAAAGCCGCAUGGUUUAAUUAUUAAAGAAUUUCGGUUAUCGAUGGGGAUGCGUCCCAUUAGGCAGUUGGUGAGGUAACGGCUCACCAAACCUUCGAUGGAUAGGGGUUCUGAGAGGAAGGUCCCCCACAUUGGAACUGAGACACGGUCCAA